GAUGAACGCUGGCGGCGUGCCUAAUACAUGCAAGUCGAGCGGACGGACGAGAAGCUUGCUUUUCUGAUGUUAGCGGCGGACGGGUGAGUAACACGUGUAUAACCUACCUAUAAGACUGGGAUCACUUCGGGAAACCGGAUCUAAUACCGGAUAAUAUUUUGAACCGCAUGGUUCAAAAGUGAAAGACGGUCUUGCUGUCACUUAUAGAUGCAUCCGCGCUGCAUUAGCUAGUUGGUAAGGUAACGGCCUACCAAGGCGACGAUGCGUAUCCGACCUGAGAGAGUGAUCGGCCGCACGGGAACUGAGACACGGACAAGACGCCUAAGGGAGGCAGCAGUAUGGAAUGUUAGGCAAUGGGCGAAAGCCUGACGGAGUGACGCCGCGUGUGUGAUGAAGGUGUUCGGAUCGUAAAACUCUGUUAUUAGGGAAGAACAGAUUUGGAAGUAACUGAGCCCAUCUUGACGGUACCUAAUCAGGAAGCCCCGGCUAACUACGUG
rnacentral:rRNA from 1 species